UGGGGAAUUUUCCGCAAUGGGCGCAAGCCUGACGGAGCAAUACCGCGUGAGGGAGGAAGGCUUUUGGGUUGUAAACCUCUUUUCUCACGGAAGAAGCACUGACGGUACUUGAGGAAUCAGCAUCGGCUAACUCCGUGCCAGCAGCCGCGGUAAUACGGAGGGGGUUAGCGUUGUUCGGAAUUACUGGGCGUAAAGCGCGCGUAGGCGGAUUAGAAAGUUAGAGGUGAAAUCCCGGGGCUCAACCCCGGAACUGCCUUUAAAACUCCUAGUCUUGAGUUCGAGAGAGGUGAGUGGAAUUCCGAGUGUAGAGGUGAAAUUCGUAGAUAUUCGGAGGAACACCAGUGGCGAAGGCGGCUCACUGGCUCGAUACUGACGCUGAGGUGCGAAAGUGUGGGGAGCAAACAGGAUUAGAUACCCCUGUAGUCC
rnacentral:rRNA from 1 species